CAGGAGAAGGACCCCUCUCGACCAAUCAGGACUCAGCAAAGAGACACAUUAUUUUGAUGAGGUCGACCUGGAGGGCAAAUAUGUCCCGCUUUUGCAACAUGUCCAAAAAGGAUCAACAACUGAAAGACUGGGAAUUACACAUAAAUGUCAACAACAGAAAACCCAUUUUGUUUAAAUUUCCGAACUCAUUCAAACUCAAGGAUGGAAAGACUGUCACUAUCUGGGCUACAGGUUGUGGUGUCAAUGAUAAUCCCCCACUGACCUGGUGUGGGAGGACCACACAUCCUGGGGCAGUGGAGACCAACUGCUGGUCUCCCUCUACAACU